rnacentral:misc_RNA from 1 species
AUGAAGGUUCAGUGGAAAUGCAAUAAUAGUUGUGAUAGCACAAAAGUUAAAGAUAGAAAUUUAUUUGAGCAUGAAACUAUUAUUUGUCCAAUAAUCAAAGAAAAAAGCAAAUUAUGUCCUGAUUUGUCAUUUUGCAUACAAUUAUAGCCCUGCCCUAGGAACCAAAUAAUUUGGGGAUCAACCUUUAAUAGCUAACUGCUAGCAACUAAUCUAAAUGGGGUCUUCACCAUAUUGCUUGCAUCAUUGCACUAUGCAUAGAAAGACAAAUAAAUUAACAAAGAUAAAUAAUUUUUAUUGUCAAAUAAAUUCACUCCCUGUUAGAUUGUCCAUGGAGCCAAAACUACAUGUUAUGUUAAGAUUUAAGAAUAAAAAG